AGGUCAUAAACAUAUCUGCGGCGUAUUUGAAUGAGCCGGAGUCAGAACAUUGGUUUCUCCCUUCCUUUUUUGGGGAACGAGCGAGGGUAAAAGAUGAAUCAUGUAGCUAUGCUAAGUGGCUCACAUCAACCAUUGAGAUGUGUGGUCUGAAGAGGUUUCAUCGCCGUCUCCAACAAUGCUCCAAGAUAUUCAUUCCCUUGCACGACAAUAUGGAAGACCACUGGAUUCUGUUGGUCAUGCACCUCCCUGGAAAAAAAAGGCAGAGGUGCUGGACAGCUUCCCUGAUGUAAGGUCAUGUGAAAGGCGAAUGGAUCAUGCAAGAGAUGUGAUGGCAAUGUUGCAGAAGGUAUUUGGUACUGAAACAACAUGGUCAAACUCCAAAUUUUAUCAUUUUCCAUCAUUCACUCUUAACUUUUCGGACUUUAACCCAACGCAUGAACAAAAAUCUGAGAGCGGGGUAUUUGUUAUAAGGCACAUGCAGUACUACCGUGGCAUGUGGUCAACAAUGUUUCAUUCGGAGGACCAGCGUACUCGAUUGGCACUUGAAAUUGUUCUUCAUCCAAGGAAUGAACACCGUCAAAUAUUGAUUGGAGCAGCAGCAGGAGCUUCGAUGCCGCCAAUAGGUGAAAGUGAGCUAUUCAAAAAUAUUCCUCUUCCACCAACCGGAAGAAAGUUUCGUAGCCACCGUAAGCGGCGAGAUCAUGUGUCGAAGGACGUCUAGGUUAUAUCUUGGUCUUAAGUAUUAAUUAAAUGACAGUUUGAGUAAUUUAUUGUGAGAGCCCAUACCCAAAACAGGGUCAUUUUUAUUUUGUUUUUGUUUGGUUGUUGCGGUAGUCAUAUUUUCAGUUUUGGCAUCACUUUAUCAGUUUAUCUAGUGCUACUGUUUUCAUAGACUUUGUGGUAUCCUUGUGUAUUAUUUUUGUUUCCAUGGUCUAGUGUUUGUAAUUUUUGUUUGUUUGUUUGGCAGCAAUUUGUCUAGUCUUCGUAAUUUUUAUUUUAGAUGCAUUACUUAUAGUUAUAUACUGUGUUAGCUUUUUUAUUUGAAUCCUUUUCUUUUUAUUUCUUGAAGCAUCCAAACUAAGUUUGAAAUUUUGGCCUGGAACAAUUUUGAAAGAGAAGAAAUUUUUGGUGGCUGUGUAUGUUUAUGUGUUUUUGAUUUAGAGCUUUCAAAUAUUGAGAUAUAUUUUGAAAUGGAUACACAACUGCUCGGUACUAUAUAUAGCUAUUGAAGUUUCGAGAAGUAUGAGUCAAGGUUAGCACUACUACAAAGCUUUAAGACGAUGUAAAUAGUAAUAUAGGAAUUCCGUCAGAAGUUAAGGUUUCCAGUUUUUAAGGUGAUGCUAAUCUGCAUAUAAUCUUGCAAUUUUUACAACUUCAUUAGUAUUCCCUGUUUCCAUUUUAAUUUAGGUUGAUAAGGUGGUCUGGGUUGGAGCUUUUUCACUGUUUUGUUUGUUUGGACUUUGGAAAUUGAUAUUAACUCUUACUUUACGCAAUUGUCUUGAAACUCUUACUAUAAUUUUAUAAAUGUAUAUCACUUCUCUUGAUAAUGACAAGGAUUCUUUUUUUGAGAUCUCUAGACGAUUAAUUUCUUUGAAGUUGUAAGUUAUGAAACAGGGUUUUGGUUAGAUUGCUCUAUGGUCUCUUACCGCUGGAUCUCACCGGGAAAAUGCAGGUAUAUCAAUAGGGUUUGAUCUUGGAAUUUCAAGAUGCUGGCCAAUUUUGUUCAUAGAAUGAAUCGACCAACACCUUUUUGAGUGUAGAGUGUAGUACUCUUGCUGCCUGCCAGGGAAUUCGACUGAAGUUUCAGGCGCAUCUGACAUUGUUUCAUCAAACUUGUUGCAGGUAAUCCUGUUGAAUGACAAUACUGAAGUCCGCACUAUUAGAUUAGGACUUCAGUUGCCUGAGCCUUGCAUCGACAUGGAGAUUAUUGUUCAAAGCGUUAGACUAAUGAAGGUUGAUGGUUCUGUACUUUCUCUGAACAUAAAUCACAGCUCAAGACAUCUUGCUGUGGGAUCUAGUAAAGGACAUGUUUCAGUUAUUGAUAUAGAAGGGCCCACUCUAUUAUAUAAAAUCCACAUUGCAAGUGAAAUUUCUACCCGCAUCAUCUCUCUGCAGUUUGAAACCUGCAGUUUUCAUGGUUUCGACAAGAAUGUCUUAGCUGUUGCAACAGAGGACUCAUCUGUUUUGGCUCUUGAUAGUGAUAAUGGAAACACAUUGAGCACUAGUCUGGUUCAUCCCAAGAAACCCACUAGAGCACUUUUAAUGUAGAUAUUGGACUCCAGCAAAGGGAGUAGUGUUGAGGAUGCCAUGCAAAAGCAGUCUUUGCUACUGCUAUGUUCCGAAAAAGCAGCAUACAUAUAUUCCUUCACACAUGUCAUGCUGGGAGUUAAGAAGGUAAUAUACAAGAAGAAAUUUCAAUCAUCUUGUUGCUGGGCAUCGACAUUCUACACCUCUGAUGUUGGCCUUAUACUCGUUUUUACAACUGGAAAAAUUGAGAUAAGGUCCUUGCAUGACUUAUCUUUGAUAAAGGAGACUUCAAUAAGGGCCUUCACAUAUUCCACAUCAAAACUAAAUUCACAUGCUGGCAAUUCGAUAUGCUCUUCAUCCGAAGGAGAACUUGUUAUGGUGAACAGUGAUCAGGAAAUCUUUCUCUUCUCUCUCAUUUUCCAGAAGCAAAGCUUUAGGCUUUUAGACUCCUUCAACAUGCAGCAUUAUGGCACACAAUGGAAUGAGGAUUAUGUUUCAGACGAGCACCGCGCAAAUUUGGUCCUUGAGUGUGUCAAUCACCCUCGCAAUAAGGUGGAAAAUGUAAGAGAAAUGGUGGCAGAUUGUUUGUCGCAACGAGGGGGGGAUGCGGUGGAUGGAAACAAGCAUGAAUUUUGUAAUCUGUGUUCAAGUUGCACAUCUGACCUGCAGUGAAAACUGGGUGAAAUAGGUCAUGGAACUGUUUUUAUUUAUUUAUUUAUGCAUGAAUUACCAUUGGGUAUCCAAGGUGAUGACCAGUGAACCAUAUUGAAUGAUUGUGAUUUAAAUUUGAACCUAAAGUUAUGGACAAAAAUAAUAAUGA